rnacentral:rRNA from 1 species
AUUGAACGCUGGCGGCAUGCCUUACACAUGCAAGUCGAACGGUAACAGGUCUUCGGAUGCUGACGAGUGGCGAACGGGUGAGUAAUACAUCGGAACGUGCCCGAUCGUGGGGGAUAACGCAGCGAAAGCUGUGCUAAUACCGCAUACGAUCUACGGAUGAAAGCGGGGGAUCGCAAGACCUCGCGCGGACGGAGCGGCCGAUGGCAGGAUUAGGUAGUUGGUGGGAUAAAAGCUUACCAAGCCGACGAUCUGUAGCUGGUCUGAGAGGACGACCAGCCACACUGGGACUGAGACACGGCCCAGACUCCUACGGGAGGCAGCAGUGGGGAAUUUUGGACAAUGGGGGAAACCCUGAUCCAGCCAUGCCGCGUGAGUGAAGAAGGCCU